rnacentral:sRNA from 1 species
GCCAGGCGUGGUGGUGCGCGCCUGUAGUCCCAGCUACUCGGGAGGCUGAGGUGGGAGGAUCGCUUGAGCCCAGGAGUUCUGGGCUGCAGUGCACUGUGCCCAUUGGGUGUCCACACUAAGUUCGGCAUCAAAUGGUGACCUCCCGGGAGUGGGGGACCACCAGGUUGCCUAAGGAGGGGUGAACCGGCCCAGGUCGGUAACAGUCCAACAGACCACUUGAACCCUCCUAGAGACCUACAACCAGUGGAGAAGAGAGGGCUGGGCACAGUCCCCAUCUAC